rnacentral:rRNA from 1 species
UAGGGAAUCUUCGGCAAUGGACGGAAGUCUGACCGAGCAACGCCGCGUGAGUGAAGAAGGUUUUCGGAUCGUAAAGCUCUGUUGUAAGAGAAGAACGAGUGUGAGAGUGGAAAGUUCACACUGUGACGGUAUCUUACCAGAAAGGGACGGCUAACUACGUGCCAGCAGCCGCGGUAAUACGUAGGUCCCGAGCGUUGUCCGGAUUUAUUGGGCGUAAAGCGAGCGCAGGCGGUUAGAUAAGUCUGAAGUUAAAGGCUGUGGCUUAACCAUAGUACGCUUUGGAAACUGUUUAACUUGAGUGCAAGAGGGGAGAGUGGAAUUCCAUGUGUAGCGGUGAAAUGCGUAGAUAUAUGGAGGAACACCGGUGGCGAAAGCGGCUCUCUGGCUUGUAACUGACGCUGAGGCUCGAAAGCGUGGGGAGCAAACAGGAUUAGAUACCCUGGUAGUCCACGCCGUAAACGAUGAGUGCUAAGUGUUGGAGGGUUUCCGCCCUUCAGUGCUGCAGCUAACGCAUUAAGCACUCCGCCUGGGGAGUACGACCGCNAGGUUG